rnacentral:lncRNA from 1 species
CUGCUACUACUACUAUACUACUAUAAAGAAAAAAAAGGAAAACACACACAUAAAUCCAAAAUGAAAACCUUUCAGAACAUUCCUCCUCCCACCACUUCCCCAACAAACCACAGUGAGAUGCAUUUGGACCCUUAAUCAAGUGUUCACCCUUCAAUAUAAUUAAUACUAAGUCCAUCGGGGGAGAGAGGAGUCUCCCUUGCACCACAGACCCCCAGGAAACACAACUGCCACCUCUUGUGUUUCCAUGUCACACAUGGCACCACCCAGAAGAAAGUUUGCCAUGGUGACACUUGCCUUUCCAUGCACAGUGCUCUCACCACCAAUGCAUGGAUGGACAGACUGCUUUUAGGAUUUUUCCUUUCAAGGAUGCUCUGCCAAAGAGGGGAAAAAUCAACUGUUAAAUUUUUUAUUUUUUGGGACCACAGUCCCCCCCAUUUUCUUCCUCCCCUGGGGCCGAGGGUCUCAGGAACAGAGAUCUUCUUCUCUUCUUCUCUGAAGACGGGGGGGCACCACCACAAAGCUCCCCAACUUUUCUGUGUUCGCUCCACUCCUGUCUUUCCUCAGCUGCUGAAGCAGGUCUCUUGGCUCACCAGCAUCCUCCUAAAAUACAGUCUCUCUCUCGGAGGAGAAACUCAGUUCAGUCUAUGGCUAACAAGAAAAAGUCCAGCCAGAAGCCACUCCAUCAUCUCCUUCCACCCAGAAUUUCUCCUUCUAACAUCUCAGGUCCCAGGCUGUCUCUCUUCCUCUCUUUCAAGCCGAGGAGGAGUAAAAUUUCACAAGGCUUUCAUUUCUCAAGGAAGGGUUAAAAGUCCCGGCUCCCUGGCUGACUCUCUGCCCGGAUCUCCGGCUCCCACCUGGGAGCUGGGCACCUUGCAGCCUUGGGGGCCCCCCCCGCUCUCCUCCUUCCCCGCGGUACUGCUGGCAAACCGUCGCUGUCUCUUGAGAGAGAGACUCUGGGGGGAAUGGAGACAUCCCAGAUGUUUUCCACCCUUCCAUCUGCAGGGCCCAGCCCGGUUCCAGCCCCUCCACCCUUCGGCCUUACCUCAGCCAGGCCUCGGGCCUUCCCUCCCCCACCCAGCCACGGGCCGGGCAGGGGAGAGUCCUGCACUGCACCCUGACCGGAACAAAAGAGAGCGAGUUCCCCUGGGAAU